rnacentral:rRNA from 1 species
AGACGGGUGAGUAAUGUAUAGGAAUCUACCUAGUAGUACGGAAUAAUUGUUGGAAACGGCAACUAAUACCGUAUACGCCCUACGGGGGAAAAAUUUAUUGCUAUUAGAUGAGCCUAUAUUAGAUUAGUUAGUUGGUGAGGUAAAGGCUUACCAAGACAAUGAUCUAUAGCUGAUCUGAGAGGAUGAUCAGCCACACUGGAACUGAGAUACGGUCCAGACUCCUACGGGAGGCAGCAGUGGGGAAUAUUGGACAAUGGGCGAAAGCCUGAUCCAGCCAUGCCGCAUGAGUGAAGAAGGCCUUCGGGUUGUAAAGCUCUUUUAGUGAGGAAGAUAAUGACGGUACUCACAGAAGAAGUCCUGGCUAACUCCGUGCCAGCAGCCGCGGUAAUACGGAGAGGGCUAGCGUUAUUCGGAAUCAUUGGGCGUAAAGGGCGCGUAGGCGGGUUAGUAAGUUAAAAGUGAAAUCCCAAGGCUCAACCUUGGAACUGCUUUUAAAACUGCUAGUCUAGAGAUUGAAAGAGGAUAGAGGAAUUCCUAGUGUAGAGAUGAAAUUCGUAAAUAUUAGGAGGAACACCAGUGGCGAANGCGUCUAUCUGGUUCAAAUCUGACGCUGAGGCGCGAA